CGGGGCGUAGCGCAGCCUGGUAGCGCACCUGCCUUGGGCGCAGGGGGUCCGCGGUUCAAAUCCGCGCGCCCCGACCA
rnacentral:tRNA from 3 species